rnacentral:rRNA from 1 species
AGACGUCUACAUUAGAUACCCGGGUAGUCCCAGCCGUAAACUAUGCGCGUUAGGUGUAUCGGUGACCACGAGUUACCGAGGUGCCGAAGGGAAACCGUGAAACGUGCCGCCUGGGAAGUACGGUCGCAAGGCUGAAACUUAAAGGAAUUGGCGGGGGAGCACAACAACGGGUGGAGCCUGCGGUUUAACUGGACUCAACGCCGGACAACUCACCGGGAACGACAGCAAUAUGUAGGCCAGGCUGAAGACCUUGCCUGAAUCGCUG